rnacentral:rRNA from 1 species
UACGUAGGGUGCAAGCGUUGUCCGGAAUUAUUGGGCGUAAAGAGCUCGUAGGCGGUUUGUCGCGUCUGCUGUGAAAACUCGGGGCUUAACUCCGGGCCUGCAGUGGGUACGGGCAGACUAGAGUGCGGUAGGGGAGACUGGAAUUCUCGGUGUAGCGGUGAAAUGCGUAGAUAUCGGGAGGAACACCAGUGGCGAAGGCGACUACCUGGCCUGUUCUUGACGCUGAGGCGCGAAAGCUAGGGGAGCAAACGGG